UACAGAGGGUGCGAGCGUUGUCCGGAAUCACUGGGCGUAAAGGGCGCGUAGGCGGCCUGGUUAGUAGGGGGUGAAAUCUUGCGGCUCAACUGCAAGGCUGCCUCCUAAACUGCCGGGCUAGAGCACGGUAGAGGCAGAUGGAAUUCCCGGUGUAGCGGUGGAAUGCGUAGAGAUCGGGAAGAACAUCGGUGGCGAAGGCGGUCUGCUGGGCCGUUGCUGACGCUGAGGCGCGACAGCGUGGGGAGCAAACAGG
rnacentral:rRNA from 1 species